rnacentral:lncRNA from 1 species
UCCUUUCUAUAACUAACUAGAUCAUAUCUAGAUAAAAUAUCUUGAGGUGCAAGUCAAGGAUGUACACGUCCAAUCUAAACCAUACUUUAACACGAUACCCUCGGCUUGCUUGGCCAGGACAAGACAACUGUGGCAUGGCUGAGGACGGCAGAUGGUAGGAAGGGUGGAAGUGGCAGGCGAGCGAGCAGAUCAGGGCAUUUUCCCACAAAGAGGCGG